GCUGAACGCUGGCGGCGUGCCUAAUACAUGCAAGUCGAGCGAACGGACGAGAAGCUUGCUUCUCUGAUGUUAGCGGCGGACGGGUGAGUAACACGUGGAUAACCUACCUAUAAGACUGGGAUAACUUCGGGAAACCGGAGCUAAUACCGGAUAAUAUUUUGAACCGCAUGGUUCAAAAGUGAAAGACGGUCUUGCUGUCACUUAUAGAUGGAUCCGCGCUGCAUUAGCUAGUUGGUAAGGUAACGGCUUACCAAGGCAACGAUGCAUGGCCGACCUGAGAGGGUGAUCGGCCACACUGGAACUGAGACACGGUCCAGACUCCUACGGGAGGCAGCAGUAGGGAAUCUUCCGCAAUGGGCGAAAGCCUGACGGAGCAACGCCGCGUGAGUGAUGAAGGUCUUCGGAUCGUAAAACUCUGUUAUUAGGGAAGAACAUAUGUGUAAGUAACUGUGCACAUCUUGACGGUACCUAAUCAGAAAGCCACGGCUAACUACGUG
rnacentral:rRNA from 1 species